UACGUAGGGUGCAAGCGUUGUCCGGAAUUACUGGGCGUAAAGAGCUUGUAGGCGGUUUGUCGCGUCUGCUGUGAAAAUCCGGGGCUCAACCCCGGACUUGCAGUGGGUACGGGCAGACUAGAGUGUGGUAGGGGAGACUGGAAUUCCUGGUGUAGCGGUGAAAUGUGUAGAGAUCGGGAGGAACACCGGUGGCGAAGGCGGGUCUCUGGGCAUCUCCUGACGCUGAGGCGCGAAAGCGUGGGGAGCAAACGGG
rnacentral:rRNA from 1 species